AACGUAGGAGACUAGCGUUAUCCGGAUUUACUGGGCGUAAAGCGUGUGCAGGCGGUUCGGCAAGUUGGAUGUGAAAUCUCCCGGCUCAACUGGGAGGGGUCGUUCAAUACUACCGAACUUGAGGGCAUCAGAGGAAGGUGGAAUUCCCGGUGUAGUGGUGAAAUGCGUAGAGAUCGGGAGGAACACCUGUGGCGAAGGCGGCCGACUGGGCCGACCCUGACGCUGAGGCGCGAAGGCGUGGGGAGCGAACGGG
rnacentral:rRNA from 1 species